GGAGACUGCCGGUGAUAAACCGGAGGAAGGUGGGGAUGACGUCAAGUCAUCAUGGCCCUUACGGCCAGGGCUACACACGUGCUACAAUGGCGCGUACAGAGGGCUGCAAGCUAGCGAUAGUGAGCGAAUCCCAAAAAGCGCGUCGUAGUCCGGAUCGGAGUCUGCAACUCGACUCCGUGAAGUCGGAAUCGCUAGUAAUCGCAAAUCAGAAUGUUGCGGUGAAUACGUUCCCGGGCCUUGUACACACCGCCCGUCACACCAUGGGAGUGGGUUGCACCAG
rnacentral:rRNA from 1 species